CUGGGAGCUCUGAGCACCGGGGGAGUGCUGGUGUUUGUUUACACCGGUAGCACAGGAGCUUUGGACCGCCCCGAAAAGGAGAUCUGAAAAUGUCACUGGAAAAUAAGAGGGAGGAGUUGGAGAGCUGCUGGCCGUUGCCUCUUCCAGCUAUAUCUGUGCAUGAGAGAAUGAAGGGGCACAUGUUUGGUUCAUGUACAAAGUUUGCCGACGCACUUUACCUCUCCCCACUUCACUCUGCAACUGAUACGACUACCAGGGGCGAGAGACCAGGCAAGGAAUGCUGCCGGGGAGUGGCUCCAGAAUGAGCACCAGAUUCGGAGUAUGGCAAGCGGGCAAUGGAACUGGGCUCAGAAGCCUCCCAGUGAACAUAGAUCAGGACGGAACAAAGCCUCUGAGACAAAAGAAGGCCAGUUUGAUGCCAGGGAAUAUAGUACAGGAAGUGAUUUACAGUUCCUACCGGGACUCUGACUCCGGGGACAACGGCGGGUUCAGGAGAGGAGAGAGUUAAUUUGUUAAGUUGUAAGUAACGUACAUCAUUUUGUUAAGUCUGCGAAUAUUUCUUCUUGUAAUGUUGAAAGUUUUUUAUUCUGGUUUUGAACAAGACUUGUGUGACGGUAUACUGUGUUGAAAUAAAUUAAGAAAAUGUUCA